UCUAAGACAGCGGACGGGGAUGCGGCCUGGGUCUCUCACUGAUUUCAAGCUCUCCAGACAAUGGUGAUGUAUGGGAAUGACUCCUUCACUAACAGGUGCUCCGUAUUUGUCGGUGAAUAAGAAGACAGAUAAAUUCUCAAGCUGAGUGUGCAUACUCAAUGGGAACACCAACAAAAUAGAACCUUCACAAGAUUAUACCCACCUAGCAUACUGAUCUUCAAAGGCCUUCCUUCCAGCAAUAGCUAAGAUGCUGAAAACCACCCCUCCAUAAUGCAGGCCAGAGAGAGCAGCACCAGAGGGGUAGCCUGUCAGAGCAAGCUGUUGACCCUUGCUAACAAUGCAUUCUUGUUGGUAGCACGGCAGAAAUUCUUCACUUGAGGCUUGCACAAGACCAUAAGGCCUUCAGGUGUUGAGACUUGACCAACAAACAGCACGCUAAAGAUAAGAAACUAAGUAUUUAGCCCUGAAUGAGGCAUUAUAUUCUCCACGGCUAGCUCCAAGUCUCAGAGAACAUCAUAGAAGAGGAAGUGGAAAGAACAUCAAGCUGAAGAAUGGCAUGUGUGCUGUGAAAUGUUGUCUUUGGGAUAGAGGAUGCUUGCUGCAACCACAAACUCCCAUCAGCCCUGGUUAUUUGUACAAGGCCCAAGCAAGAUCAAACCAGCAUAGAAUAGGUGGAUGAUUCCCAGCUCAUACUCCUUACAGCGGAGCUGUUGACAGUGGGCAGCAUCCAGGGGCGGAAGAGGGAUUCUUCUUUGAAAAUAUGAUGGCAACUGAUAGGUUUCCCAUGUUCCCAGGGAUGGUCCCACAUCUAUAAACAAAUAGGUGGCCCUAGCUGAACUCAAUGCUCUGUAAAAUAAAAAAGUCAGAAACUGUGGCGUGGGAACUCUAUGGGUAGAGUUAGAAAUAAUGGGGCUGGGCUGGAUAUAAGUAUUUUCCAUUGUAUCCCUGUAUGAUAUUCUCAAAAGUAAAGAAAAAUUAAAAAUAUGUUUUGAAUAAUGACUUGACCAGGUACCAGCAAAAGCUCCUAUCCUAGAACAUAACUCAACACUUCAUCCAACAGUGAUGUCUGUCAACUAUGCAAUAGAGUUUUUCUGUAAGCCCGUGUCUGCAUUUUAAUUAAGAAUCAUCUUGGUAAUAGUAGCAAACAGACAUUGUUUUGAAUAGUACACAGUUUGUGCCAUGUGUCACACUAAAUCCUUCAUUUAUAUUAUCUUGUAAAUCUUCAAUAGUACAAUACACCAUGAUGUCUGCAUUGUUUCUUCAGUAGAGAGACUGAACGCUAUAACAAGGUCUUUAGGACGUUUCAGAGUCAGGUACUGUUUGUUUCCAAACUCUCAACUCAAGGACUUUCUGGUGAGGAUGCAAGAAAGAUUGUAGGAUGCUAAAUUCUUUAAGAAAAUACUGUUCAAGAUUUGAACCUUUACUACUUUG